rnacentral:rRNA from 1 species
UACGUAGGGGGCUAGCGUUGUCCGGAAUCAUUGGGCGUAAAGCGCGUGUAGGCGGUCCGGUAAGUCCGCUGUGAAAGUCGGGGGCUCAACCCUCGAAAGCCGGUGGAAACUGUCGGGCUAGAGUGCGGAAGAGGCGAGUGGAAUUCCUGGUGUAGCGGUGAAAUGCGCAGAUAUCAGGAGGAACACCAAUGCGAAGGCAGCUCGCUGGGACGUUACUGACGCUGAGACGCGAAAGCGUGGGGAGCAAACAGG